rnacentral:rRNA from 1 species
AGGGAAUAUUGGACAAUGGGGGCAACCCUGAUCCAGCCAUGCCGCGUGAGUGAAGAAGGCCCUCGGGUUGUAAAGCUCUUUUGUCCGGAAAGAAAAGCUUCGGGUUAAUACCCCGGGGUUCUGACGGUACCGGAAGAAUAAGCACCGGCUAACUUCGUGCCAGCAGCCGCGGUAAUACGUAGGGUGCGAGCGUAAAUCGGAAUUACUGGGCGUAAAGGGUGCGCAGGCGGUCUUGCAAGUCAGAUGUGAAAGCCCCGGGCUUAACCUGGGAAUUGCGUUUGAAACUACAAGGCUAGAGUGCAGCAGAGUGGAGUGGAAUUCCAUGUGUAGCAGUGAAAUGCGUAGAGAUGUGGAAGAACGCCGAUGGCGAAGGCAGCUCCCUGGGUUGACACUGACGCUCAUGCACGAAAGCGUGGGGAGCAAACA